CCCCUGGUGGUCUAGUGGUUAGGAUGCGGUGCCCUCACCACUGAGGUCUGGGUUCGAUUCCCGGUCAGGGAA
rnacentral:tRNA from 1 species